UAGAUUGAAGCCAGUUGUUUGAGGUGUUUAGCUGUUAACUAAUGUUUUGUGGGUUAGAAUCCCAUCAAUCUAG
rnacentral:tRNA from 2 species